UGGGGAAUUUUGGACAAUGGGCGAAAGCCUGAUCCAGCAAUGCCGCGUGUGUGAAGAAGGCCUUCGGGUUGUAAAGCACUUUUGUCCGGAAAGAAAUCCUUGGCUCUAAUACAGUCGGGGGAUGACGGUACCGGAAGAAUAAGCACCGGCUAACUACGUGCCAGCAGCCGCGGUAAUACGUAGGGUGCAAGCGUUAAUCGGAAUUACUGGGCGUAAAGCGUGCGCAGGCGGUUUGCUAAGACCGAUGUGAAAUCCCCGGGCUCAACCUGGGAACUGCAUUGGUGACUGGCAGGCUAGAGUAUGGCAGAGGGGGGUAGAAUUCCACGUGUAGCAGUGAAAUGCGUAGAGAUGUGGAGGAAUACCGAUGGCGAAGGCAGCCCCCUGGGCCAAUACUGACGCUCAUGCACGAAAGCGUGGGGAGCAAACAGGAUUAGAUACCCUGGUAGUCCACGCCCUAAACGAUGUCAACUAGUUGUUGGGAUUCAUUUCCUUAGUAACGUAGCUAACGCGUGAAGUUGACCGCCUGGGGAGUACGGUCGCAAGAUUAAAACUUAAAGGAAUUGAC
rnacentral:rRNA from 1 species